rfam:Volvox carteri f. nagariensis unplaced genomic scaffold VOLCAscaffold_112, whole genome shotgun sequence.
GGGGUCGUAGCUCAAAUGGUAGAGCGCCCGCUUAGCAUGCGAUGCUGAGUGCAGCAGAUGAUAUGCGGGAGGUAGGGGGAUCGAUGCCCUCCGACUCCA